CCUACCCCAUAUUACCAUUAUAUCCCCUUGUGUUUAGCCUCUCUCCUAACAUUACCAUUAUACCCCUCCUCCUUUACCCUCUCUUCCCAUCUCCAGUUCAUGCCGCCUCCGUUGGAUAGCCUUGCAGGUCCUUCUCCCCUUCAUCUUCUUCCUCAUGGAACCCUUUGCCUGAACUACUGCCCGAGUUGGAGAACAGAUUGGGUUUUCAUGGCUAGGUCUAAACGAGAGCGAAACCGAGCCCAGCAGAUCCAAGCCACUGCCAUGCCUGUGUUGUAGAUCUCACUGUCAAACCACCAGGGUCAUCGUUGGGGUCGUAUUCCACCACCAUUACCUCAGGCCGUUCCAGCCACCAUCCUUGACAAGGGUGCUUCGGGCACCUGCAGGAUUUCAGAGGUUUCAAACAUGAAGUUUCAUCUUACUCAGGUCCAAUACCAUAGUCAAAUGGAUGCAAAUGGAAAUUACCAAGAGGAUGCAUGGUUUGACUCAACUAGCAUUCUAGAAUCUGAUUCAGAUGAAGAGUUCAGUAGUGUGCAUGGAGAUUGUUUUCCCUUUGUGGGCAAUGCUUUGGGAGGUGUCUCAAAUACUCAGUUACUCCAGUAUGAAAGUGCAUCCUGCUUUGUAGAUUCAGGGUGUAAAUAUGAGGAGUAUUAUGAGAGCUACCUCAAAAUAGAUGGAGGUAUUUGCAAGAAUGGAGAGAAAACUCAGGAGAAUAGCUCAAAGCAAUCAACAGUUAUCAUGUAUUCUGUAACAAGGAAAUCCACUGAUGAUGCAUCUGAGAGAUUUCUAUACCGUCCCAGAGCGGGGCUUCAAAUUCCCAGAUCAACUGAAGGAAAGUCGUUCGCUGGUUCCUGGUCUGCAAUUUCCCCUUCCUUGUUCAAGCUCCGUGGCGAAAGUUUUUUCAGUGAUAAGCAGAAGUGUCCUGCUCCAGACUUCUGCCCUUAUACACCAAUAGGUGUUGAUUUAUUUGUUUCUUCAAAGAAGAUAAAUCACAUUGCUAAGCAUCUUGAACUUCCAUCUGUCCAAGAACAUGGGAAAAUACCCUCACUCCUCAUUGUUAAUAUACAGUUGCCAACAUAUCCUGCUAGCAUAUUCCUUGGUGAUGCCAAUGGUGAAGGUUUGAGCCUUGUACUAUAUUUUAAAUUGUCCGAGAAUUUUGAAAAAGAGAUCUCGCCAUGUUUUCAGGAGAAGAUCAAGGGCUUCUCUGCACAAGCUCAAUUCCUAUAAAUCGCCCUUCAAUGCGUAGAGUGGUGAAAAUGCUGCAGGAAGCAACUGCAGUUCCCAAAUCCAGAAGUGGAAAACUCUCUCCUUACUAUCAAGAAGAUGCUUAGCAACAACUACUCCAAUUUACACCUCAAGUUUGAGAUUAUGAUGGCAAAGUAACUCCUAAGAAGGUAGCAGCUGCUGCAAUGUACUUAAAGGGUAUACAAGAGCUCAUCACAUUUGAGAAACUACAAGGCCUCCCAAAUUGCUGUGGUGUAGUUGAUGUUACACACAUCAAU